UUCAAAAGCCGGAAAUUCAUUGGAGUUUAUAAUGCACUAGCUGCAAUAUUUGUAGAAAAUCAGUUGAUGAUGUACAAAUAUUUAUUAAAAGUGGAAUCUAAUAGCAAUGUUUAUGCAGCUAUAACUUUGUUCAUCAUUUUUUCUAGAUGUACCAACUAUAUCAUGCUGAAAACUGGUCACUUGAAGAAUAUCGACUUUAUAAUACAAAGAUUCAUUGCGUUGGAUUAUUCGUUUUAAUGGAACGAUUUCCGUUCGUAACAGAUUUGUUCACAAGUAUAUUUGCUCGGUAUGAAUUUUCUUCGUUAGUACAAAAUGAGUGUACAACUCAUAGAGUUUUGAAUUGUUUGAGAAAGUGAACAGUUAUAAUUUUAAAGCUAUUGCAAUAAUUCUUUUUUUUCUAAAUUUUACCAAUUCUAAAAUUAUUCAAUCUUUAUUACUAUAUAUCACAAAAAUAUUAAAAUUAUUUUUAUAAGUUAUUAAGAUAGUAUAAAUAUAAUCUAUUUUUAAUAUUUUAGAAUUAACUCAAGCCAUAUAAAACUAAAAGCCGCAAUUGAAGCCUGCGUACAAUUUAAGAUGAAAAAUGUUGGUCAGUUUUCAGAUGGUUAUUAUUUUAAAUUAUUAGAUAGGUAAGAAUCUACACUAAUGUAGAAAAAGUAACAUAAAUAUUAAAAAUACAAUUAAAUGAAACAUUAAGUAUUGUACAUGUAUAUACACAAGAAAUAAGAUAUGAAAUUAUCAAUUAACCGGGAUGUGUCUACAUUUAUCUUACACCGUUUUACACUUGUGUAUCAUUACGAAAUCAAUUGUAUUAAAGGAAAAUUGUUCUAUUGUUAAAUUAAUUAAUAAAGAAUCUGAGUAAAAAAAUUAUGCUGACUAAUUUGAACGGAAUUUUACACCCCGAAGGAAAGGCAGUUUCUAUCUUCCUUUUCACAGAGUAAUUCGACUAGAUUUUAAUAAUAAUAAAAAAAAGAAAUCGUGUGAAGGAAACAUCUUCUCUAGCUUCAAUGACGCGUUAUAAUAGAGACAAAGGUUAUUAGGUUUAUUCUAUAGUGGGUUAAAGGAGUUAUACCGUUAUUACAAUUAUAAUCUCAAAUUUUCUUAUUUAAUUAACGUUCGUUUGGUUUUAAUUGAAAUUUUUUUGCAGUAUCUUCUUUUACAAAUGUCGUCUUUUAAUAAAAACAAUAUUUUUUGCGUAAUAAAUAAUUAUAUGAUGAAGGCUUGAUAUUUAACACGAAAUACUUAUCUACGUAUCCUUCAUCAUUAGUGGUUAAAUAAACGUUGCAUUAUCAACAGUUUUUUAGACACACAUAUUUAAAUGUAUUUAUCUUCUCAAUAUCAGCCUUAUCUCUUUUUU